rnacentral:rRNA from 1 species
UUCUGGCUCAGGAUGAACGCUAGCUACAGGCUUAACACAUGCAAGUCGAGGGGCAGCAUUGGAGUAGCAAUACUUCAGAUGGCGACCGGCGCACGGGUGAGUAACACGUAUCCAACCUGCCGCUUACUCGGGGAUAGCCUUUCGAAAGAAAGAUUAAUACCCGAUGGUAUAAAGAGUUCGCAUGUUCUCUUUAUUAAAGAAUUUCGGUAAGCGAUGGGGAUGCGUUCCAUUAGAUAGUUGGCGGGGUAACGGCCCACCAAGUCUACGAUGGAUAGGGGUUCUGAGAGGAAGGUCCCCACAUUGGAACUGAGACACGGUCCAAACUCCUACGGGAGGCAGCAGUGAGGAAUAUUGGUCAAUGGACGAGAGUCUGAACCAGCCAAAAGUAGCGUGAAGGAUGACUGCCCUAUGGGUUGUAAACUUCUUUUAUAAGGGAAUAAAGUGAGGGACGUGUCCCUUUUUGUAUGUACCUUAUGAAUAAGGAUCGGCUAACUCCGUGCCAGCCGCGGC